rnacentral:rRNA from 1 species
UGGGGAAUUUUGGACAAUGGGGGCAACCCUGAUCCAGCCAUUCCGCGUGAGUGAAGAAGGCCUUCGGGUUGUAAAGCUCUUUCAGCAGGAACGAAACGGCAGGCUUUAAUACGGUCUGCUAAUGACGGUACCUGCAGAAGAAGCACCGGCUAACUACGUGCCAGCAGCCGCGGUAAUACGUAGGGUGCGAGCGUUAAUCGGAAUUACUGGGCGUAAAGCGUGCGCAGGCGGCGACAUAAGACAGAUGUGAAAUCCCCGGGCUCAACCUGGGAACUGCGUUUGUGACUGUGUUGCUAGAGUGUAGCAGAGGGGGGUGGAAUUCCACGUGUAGCAGUGAAAUGCGUAGAGAUGUGGAGGAACACCGAUGGCGAAGGCAGCCCCCUGGGUUAACACUGACGCUCAUGCACGAAAGCGUGGGGAGCAAACAGGAUUAGAUACCCCAGUAGUCCCUGAGCGGGCUGGCAAGGCGCAU